CCUANGGGUGGCUGCAGUCGAGAAUCUUCCGCAAUGGGGGAAACCCUGACGGAGCGACGCCGCGUGCGGGAUGAAGGCCUUCGGGUUGUAAACCGCUGUCGGAGGGGAGCAAAUUAUGAGCGAUCCUCGGAGGAAGCACAGGCUAAACUCGUGCCAGCAGCCGCGGUAAUACGAGUUGUGCAAACGUUAUUCGGAAUCACUGGGCUUAAAGGGUGCGUAGGCGGCUACGAAAGUCAGAUGUGAAAUCCCUCGGCUCAACCGAGGAACUGCAUUUGAAACUUCAUAGCUAGAGGGAGGCAGAGGUGAGCGGAACUGAUGGUGGAGCGGUGAAAUGCGUUGAUAUCAUCAGGAACACCGGUGGCGAAGGCGGCUCACUGGGUCUUAUCUGACGCUGAGGCACGAAAGCCAGGGGAGCAAACGGGAUUAGAUACCCGUNUANUC
rnacentral:rRNA from 1 species